CUACAAAUCUUAUAAUUCUGCUAGAGGAUGAAAUCUUUGCCGAUUUUUUCAACACAUUUCUUUCCCUCCCGGUUUUUGGUCAGACACCAUUUUAUACUGUUGAAAAUUCACAGUGGAGCUUGUGGCCAGAAAUGCCUUGUAACUUGAUUGCCAAAUACAAAGGGUUAUUGACCUGGUUGGAAAAAUACCGAUUACAUUUCUUCUGUAAAACAAACUUGUGUUUCCAUUACAUUCUCUGUCAGGAGUUCAUCAGUUUCAUUAAGUCCCCAGAAGGAGGUGAAGAAUUGGUGGAUUUCUGGAUCCUCACUGAGAAGAUCCUGAGCAUAGAUGAGAUGGACCUGGAAGUGAGAGACUACUACCUGUCCCUCCUCCUCAUGCUGAGGGCCACUCAUCUGCAGGAGGGUUCCAGGGUGGUAACCCUCUGUAACAUGAACAUCAGUAAGAAUUAUAAAGCAUCUUUUUGGGGGGAUGCAACAAAAAAGUAAA
rnacentral:sRNA from 1 species